ensembl:ncRNA R09F10.13 ncRNA
UGGGUGCUACAUAAUUGGCUUCACACUGCGUCGCGCAUUCCAUUUCCCUCUUAUUUUGCUUGCAGCCCUCGGACAGUGAUUAGCGACGCGGUAACUCAAUCUUCCAAUGUCCCAAACAUUUGGUCGGUCUCUCCUUU